GAUGAAGAACGCAGCGAAAUGCGAUAAGUAGUGUGAAUUGCAGAAUUCAGUGAAUCAUCGAAUCUUUGAACGCACAUUGCGCCCCUUGGUAUUCCAUGGGGCAUGCCUGUUCGAGCGUCAUUUGUACCCUCAAGCUUUGCUUGGUGUUGGGUGUUUGUCUCGCCUCUGCGUGUAGACUCGCCUCAAAACAAUUGGCAGCCGGCGUAUUGAUUUCGGAGCGCAGUACAUCUCGCGCUUUGCACUCAUAACGACGACGUCCAAAAGUACAUUUUUACACUCUUGACCUCGGAUCAGGUAGGGAUACCCGCUGAACUUAAGCAUAUCAAUAAGCGGAGGA
rnacentral:misc_RNA from 1 species